UAUCUCUGUAGAGUCUGCAUAUCAAUAAGCGGAGGAAAAGAAACUAACUAGGAUUCCCUCAGUAACGGCGAGUGAAGCGGGAAGAGCUCAAAUUUGAAAUCUUCAAGGUUCUACCUUGACGAAUUGUAGUUUAAAGGAAGUGUUUUCUGUUGGAUGUUUUGGUAAAAGUUCUUUGGAAUAGGACAUCAUAGAGGGUGAGAAUCCCGUAUUUGACCAUUACUUUCCAGCGUUGUGAUACACUUUCAAAGAGUCGGAUUGUUUGGGAAUGCAGUCCAAAAUGGGUGGUAAAUUUCAUCUAAAGCUAAAUACUGGCGAGAGACCGAUAGCGAACAAGUACCGUGAGGGAAAGAUGAAAAGAACUUUGAAAAGAGAGUUAAACAGUACGUGAAAUUGUCAAAAGGGAAGCGUUUGACACCAGUGUUGUUUUCUCGAAAAUCAAUUAAAAAAAGUUGGAUUUUGUAUUGUUAAGACCUUAUCAGCUUACUGUACUCUUUUCUUGCUUUUUUUAAUGCACUUUUCGUUUAACAAGUCAACAUCAAUUUCUUUUGUUGUAAAAGAGUCAUUGGAAGGUGGCUUUCACUUCGGUGAAAGUGUUUAUAGCCUUUGGCUUCUGCAAUCGGAGAGAUUGAGGUCUGCAGCGUAGAUCCUUCGGGGCUAGAUACGUAGAUGCUAAGUUAUAGUUUUUUAUAGACAACUUGUUGACUAUAAUUAAUCAUGUAGCUUACUCGUUUGCGCUAUUUUACCUACGCUUAGGAUGUUGAUAGUCACAGCGUGUAC
rnacentral:rRNA from 1 species